AGCAGAGUGUCAGUCAUCUAGACCUACAGCAGACAACUCUGAGCAUGAGGUGCAUUCUGUUGGAGGUCAGCGUGGCACUUCUUCUCUGAAAGAGUUAAUUGGUGAAGUUGGUGUCCAGUAUCAGGAGUUGUCACCCCAAGCGUUCUCAGAAGAACUUACCAGUGAGAGCAAAUCGAAAGAGGUGCCACAAUCAUCCAGAGCUGUGCCUAAUGACUCUGCUUGUGAGUGUACAAUUCAUAGGCUGGUAUUUGAAUCGGUGAAACUUGACAAAUGUGGGAUAUGCCAUUCACCUUUGACAGCUAUCAGAUGGCACGGUCUAAGAUGCAAGCAAUGCUGUUGUGUGUGGCAUAAGAUCUGCCUCCAGACAUCUUCAGAAGACUGGGAUAUGUCCGACGUAAGUGUACAGUGAAAUUCAACCUGGAAAAGACUCAGAUACGGAGAAAGAAUUAGACAUGCUUUAUUGAACAUUAAAUAUUUG
ensembl:lncRNA